GGAAAACGCCGUCUAAAUGGCUUCACCUGUGGUUGAUUGGCCUUAUGCUCGUGUGUGCACCACUUCGUGAGGGUAACUAUCACAGAGAGCCAUGAAGAGGCAAGAAGCGGGCUGUGACAUGGUUUCCAUGGGAGUACAGAGCUGUUUGAAGCCUUGCCAUAGCCACUUAAGAUACCUCCUGGAUUUCACUUCCUGUCUGUUCUGCCAGGCUCUUCAGGAUCUGCUUGAAGAACAGGGCUGUGUCUGCCGGGAACAUUCUGCCCCAUAUCCUUCAGCAUGAGGCGGAAUUACUCAGCAUGUAGCUGCCAGUGCUGGUCACAUAGUUCAGAGUAACGCUGAUGACGAUGAUGAUGAUGUCAGUUCAGCAAUAGGUUUCUGAUUCUACUUAUUUAAAUCUUGACACACCAGAAAGUAAAUUACUUAAUCUUAUAUACUUAGUCAACUUUUAGAAUUCUUAUUGUCUUUGAAAAAUAAAAAAAGUACCCCUCAUAAAAAUAUUAGUUUUAAAAGUAAAAAUUAAGUGCAAUAUCUUAGACAAUAAUUAAGCAUUUAAAGACAGUCUGAUGCAAACUUCUUCCUGUAUUUCUGUAGUAUUCACAUUAUUGCUAAAGUCUUGUUUGUUGCAGUCAUUUUUAGCAUAAAAUGUCACUAUAUAUUACCCUAAUUGCAAUGUAUUAUAGAGUUGCAUAAACCAUCUUUUCUGGACCUUGAAGUCCUUUCAUUCUUAUUGAAUUUUAGUUAAAAUAACUGACAAGUUAAUUAAAAAAAAAACAUAUGUGAUUUUUUAUUGUUUUCCUUACAGCAGUUAGCAAUAGUUUAACUAUAGCAAGCCAAAAAUAAAUACAAAUUUUAAAUAAUUUCAACAAUGUGUUUCAUUCAACAGAGCAACAGUAGCAUUUCACAUUAAGAGGGCACAAAAUCCAACACACAGCCAUGGCUUCCUGUCUGAAGCUUUCACCCUAGAAGUGUGGGGUUGAUGCUUUUUUAAAUUUUAUUUUUAUUUUUUUGCUUUUUUUUCUGUAAUGAUUCAUUUUUCAAUGUCAAAUUCAAAAAUCAUACAUUUUUGUCUGUAAGGAUUAAAAAAAAAGAUGCAGAGAGGAAGCCACUGUGGUAGUAAUUGGACUCAGCCCAGCAGAAGCAGUUAGGAGACAGUGUUUAGCAUGCGGGGCGAAACAUUAAGACAUGAGGAAAAUACUACAAGCAAAGUGCAUAAAUAUUCAAAAUCAAAACUGGAAAUAACAGACCCCUAAAAAGCUACCAUCGGCACGCUAUUUAGAAAAAUCUCACUUUUGAAUUUUUCAUGUACAAAGAAAAAAGU